rnacentral:tRNA from 2 species
CGGGGCGUAGCGCAGUCCGGCUAGCGUGCUUGCAUGGGGUGCAAGAGGUCCCGGGUUCGAAUCCCGGCGCCCCGA